rnacentral:rRNA from 1 species
GAUUUCUGGUACGGUGCGCGGUGUGCGAGUGUCGCUUGUGCGUGUAGCUAGGGUGUCUCUCUCCAGGGGCAUCUGAACUACAUCGUUUACUUUGAAGAAAUUAGAGUGUUCAAAGCGGGCUUGCGCAUGAAUAUAUUAGCAUGGAAUAAUAAUUUAGGACUUUGAUCCUAUUUUGUUGGUUUUAAGGAUUAAAGUAAUGAUUGAUAGGGAUAGUUGGGGGUGCUAGUAUUCACCGGCCAGAGGUGAAAUUCUUGGAUUCGGUGAAGACUAACUUAUGCGAAAGCAUU